rnacentral:rRNA from 1 species
UACAGAGGGUGCUAGCGUUGUUCGGAAUCAUUGGGCGUAAAGGGCGUGUAGGCGGUUCGGCAAGUCUCUAGUGAAAUCUCAGGGCUCAACUCUGAGUCUGCUGGGGAAACUGCCGGGCUUGAGUGUGGGAGAGGAGACUGGAAUUCCUGGUGUAGCGGUGAAAUGCGUAGAUAUCGAGAGGAACACCUGCGGCGAAGGCGGAUCUCUGGGCCGAUACUGACGCUGAGGAGCGAAAGCGUGGGGAGCGAACAGG